CAUGUCAUCAUUUAUUAAUAGAUUCAUUGAUGCUUGAUUGAUUGAUUGUUUGGACCCAUUCAGCCAUGCAGUUCAUGUUCUGUGUCUGGUUCCUGUCUGUAGUUGAGUGUGGCUCAGAAGCGUCUGGACGGCUCUGCCUCGUCCUCUCAGACCCAGAGAGUCUGGUUCCAGACUCAGCAGGAGAGAAAACAAAGUCGCAUGUCUAAGGCCCUGCAGGAGUUUGACCUGGCUCUGCGUGG